AUUCGAAGGUGGCAAGCGUUGUUCGGAAUCACUGGGCUUAAAGCGCACGCAGGCGGAACAGAAAGUGUCUUGUGAAAGCCCCCGGCUUAACCGGGGAAUUGCUUGGCAAACUUCUGUUCUUGAGGCAAGUAGAGGUACAUGGAACUCUUGGUGGAGCGGUGGAAUGCGUAGAUAUCAAGAGGAACGCCAAUGGUGAAGACAGUGUACUGGGCUUGUCCUGACGCUGAGGUGCGAAAGCGUGGGGAGCGAACGGGAUUAGAAACCCCAGUAGUCC
rnacentral:rRNA from 1 species